CGGAGGGAGGGAGGGAGGGGGGGGAAGCGGGGAGUGAAGGCAGCGGCGGAGCGCUGGGUGACACGGGGUGUCCGCCCGGAGGAUGGUCCCCGCCGUGGGGCUGCCGCCUCUCGGCCCCCCCAGCCCUCCUAAUCGCACGCCUGCUAAACUCUCCCAGCUAGCCCCUUCAUCAUCACCUGAUACAAUGAAUGCAUCUAGAUACAAACAAACAAACAAAAAAAUACCCUAAAGAUACGAAGCCUGUUAAAAGAAGCCGAUGAGCUUUCCAGGAGGAGCCAGGGAGAGGUGAAGCCACGAGGAGUCUGAGGGCCCAUGGGAAGAGUUGGAACAACAGGCUCUCUUCUCCGAAACCAUGCCAGAGAUGACAGAAAAUGAGACACCUACUAAGAAGCAACAUCGAAAGAAAAACCGGGAGACACAUAAUGCAGUGGAGAGACAUCGAAAGAAGAAGAUUAAUGCUGGGAUAAACAGAAUUGGAGAACUCAUUCCCUGCUCUCCGGCACUUAAGCAGAGCAAGAACAUGAUCCUGGAUCAGGCCUUUAAGUAUAUAACGGAAAUGAAAAGACAGAAUGAUGAACUCCUGUUAAAUGGAGGGAACAAUGAACAGGCUGAAGAGAUAAAAAAACUCCGGAAACAGUUGGAUGAACUGCAAAAGGAAAAUGGGAGAUACAUCGAACUACUGAAAGCAAAUGAUAUUUGCCUGUAUGAUGACCCUACAAUCCACUGGAAGGGAAAUCUCAAGAAUGCGAAAGUCUCGGUUGUUAUUCCCGGUGAUCAGGUUCAAAAGAACAUCAUUGUCUAUUCAAAUGGGAGUCAACCCAACGGAAAUAACCAGGGAGCAUCUGUCCAGGGAAUAACGUUUAAUGUUGGUCAUAAUUUACAAAAGCAAACAGCCAAUGUUGUGCCAGUCCAGAGAACUUGCAACCUAGUGACUCCUGUGACAAUUUCUGGUAUUUAUCCCACAGAAAACAAGCCAUGGUCGCAAACUACAGUUUCUCCGUUGGCAUCCACUCAGACAGCUCCAGCAGGAAACGUUCUUGAGCUUUCCACCCCGGAGAACGAGCGAGGUGUGCUUGCCGCUGCUACUGCCAGCUCGCAGAGCGCAUCUCGAUCCGGAACAGAACAGGAACUGCAGUGUUCUUCAAACAAUGCACCACAGAAUGAUCAAAAUCUCCCCAAAAGGAAAAACGAUGAUGAGGGCACUAAAUUAACAAAGAAAACACUCCUGCAGGGAAUCAGCCUUCCUUCCAGUGCCUCCACGGAAGCCUCCCAAGUUCAACAGGUGAAUGCAACUUGCUCAAAUACACACAGUUCGAGGAGUGACCUUCAGGAAAGCUGUGUCAUUUCAACCACGGACACAGCUUGUGUGCCGUCUGUGAGACUGUCUACUGCAGAGAGUUUUCCCUCUGUAAACGUCCUCAAAAGUACAGACUUAGUAAGUAGUGCUGGAAUGCCUGUGUCUUCUGCAGCAGAAGGAGUUAAGGCUGUGACGGCAGUAAGCACUCUGCCUGCCAGUCCCUUAGAGAACUGCUGGACUUUUUCAGGCUCUUCAGGUGUUGGCACUUCAGACUUGAAAAAUAUGAGUAGCCUUACACGGAUGCCUUCAGCUGGAAACACACAGACCACGUGGACAACUUUGCAGCUAGCGGGAAAUACUGUUCAGCCACUAAGCCAAACGCCAUCCGGUAUAAUGACUGCACUAUUAAACGAGCCCGUUAAUGGUGCUGGUACUGUAUCUUCUGCUCAUAGCAGGCCUUUGACUACAAGUAUCAGUUUGAAUACUUCUCUGCCGGCGGAUGGCCAGGCAGCUGAACAGAUUGUGGUUACCUUACCGUCCUGCCCACCCUUACCUAUGCAGCCGUUAAUCAGCCAGCCACAGGUUAAAACUCAGGCUGCAGGAAAUAUCCUUCCAUUAAAUUCAGCUAUGCAGGUGAUUCAGAUGGCUCAGCCAGUCGUGUCAGCUGUUACAGGAGCACCAGCUAACCAGAACGUCAUCAUUCUCCAGCCUCCAAACCCCGCUCCGUGCCCUCCGAUUGUGAGAGCGGAAGUUCCCAGCCAAAAUGUUAGUCAGCAAAUUGUAAUUAUACAAGCUGCUAAUCAGAAUCCUCUUCCCCUCCUCUCCGCUCAGCCUUCUGCUUCUGUAAGAGUUCCUGUGAAUGGGCCGACUGCAAUCGCUAACUCUAGCAGCUCUGUACAAAAUGCAUCUCUUCCACAGACUUUCGGAGGGAAACACCUUGUCCAUAUAUUACCGAGACCGUCGUCUUUGACAUCUUCUAGCUCUACGCAAACGUUCUCAGUUACAAUGUCCAAUCAACAGCAUCCUCAAACUAUCUCAUUAAAUGGGCAGCUUUUUGCAUUGCAGCCUGUGAUGUCUUCAUCUGGAGCUUCAAAUCAAGCCCCUAUGCAAAUUAUUCAACCCACCACCAGCGAAGAUCCAAAUACCAAUGUUGCCCUCAAUACAUUUGGUGCUUUAGCUAACCUCAAUCAAAGCAUAUCGCAAAUGGCUGGACAGAGCUGCUUACACUUGUCUCUCAGCCACCCUACCAAUCCCACAACUGUCAAUAACCAGAUUGCCACAGUUAACUGCGUGUCAUUACCAACUUCUGUGGCGUCGUCAGUACCCGCGGAGGUUUCAGUAUUAACUAGUGCAUCUAAUUCAAUAAAUGCUUCCCCCAAAAAAGCGGCUGCUGGCUUGCCAUCCAAUGCAAAAUCGAAAAGGACAAAUAAAAAGCCAAGUACAAAGAAACACCAGGCAGUCAACAGUAAAGUGUCCUGCCCAGCAGUUCCUUGCAAAGACGCAGGGAAGGUGGACUGUGCUCCCGUGGAAACGGCGGCAAAGCAUUCAAGCGGCGAGGGGCUGCUUGAAAACGCUCCAGCAGUACCGCAAGCUUUAACGACGUCGCAGGCGAGCGGUGUGGCAGCAUCGAGUGGCGUCAGUGCUUCUGACUGUCAUUCCAAAGAGACUGCGAGCUCUGAACAGGCAGCCAAAACCUGCUCCGUCCCCGAACCGAGCUCGGCAGAGGCACCCGCUUCCUCGCCGCUGGCGUCCGUGGUGUCAGAGCAGCCGGCGCUCGUCCCGCCGACUGCCAAAGAUGCUGCUCCUCGCCAGCAGGCCCGUGGGUCUCAGAACCGUCCACUAACCGGCCCUGCCUUGUCAGAAUCUCCCAAACCCUGUGAACCCCCCAGCACCUUAACGUCCUCUUGUACCGAAGCACAUGUGACACAUUCUCAGGUUGCUGGGACGUCAGCAGCACAGAGCAGCACAGCAGGUCAUGCUUCCAAGGCAGGAACGAUUUCAGAGUCCUGCAACGUUGCGCAGGAUUCCUCAGUGGUAAUGCAAGAUGCGGACUUGUUAGAAGGGCAGGGUCUAACCAAAAUGCUGUCUGAUCUCACGAAAGAAAGAACAGCUGUGGAAAAAACCUCUUCGUUUACUGUUCAGGGGGAGCAUUCUAAUUUUCCCAUGGAAAACUCUAAAUCAGCAGAAUCAAAUGUUGAUUUGCCUGAGAAGCAGGAACUCUUGCUAAUGAACACGGAAGGUGAUACUCUCUCCCAGCAUCACUCCUGCAUUUCCGAUCAGGAAGUAGUCAGUGCUUCCCUUAUCGCUAGCAGGCAGGCAGACUCCCCGAUGUCAACUAGCUCUGGCAGCAGUCGAGGAUUCUCGGUUGCAUCUAUGUUGCCAGAUACCACCAGAGAAGACGUUACUAGCAGCACCUCAACCAGUACCUGUAAUAGCUGCACAUUUUCAGAACAGACCGACAUUGUAGCUCUUGCAGCGAGAGCUAUUUUUGACCAGGAAAACCUUGAGAAAGGUGGAGGAGGAAUACAGGUUAACAUGAGGGAUGCCAUCUCUAAGUCAACUGAGGUUGCACCUUUGGAGAGAGAGCAACAGCCUUUUAAACCUCAACCAGUGAAAGAAAACAACGCAGGGCCGUUGGAAGCAGCACCAAACAAAUUCAGUGCUCAAGAUACAGUACAGACAAACGUCGAUAGACAGGUUGAAAAGCCAAGCUGCUCUGUAGGAGGCGCAGAAACCUCAAACACUUCUUUGCAGAUUUCUGCUUCCCAGUCACCAAGCCUAACCAGUUUAAGCGUGAAUAAUCUAAUACACCAGAGUCGCAUUGUCCAUCCCCUUGUGAGCUGCUCGAGUUUAUCCCAGUCUUCAGAGCCAGCAAGUGUCCCUGCAACGGUGAGCCUCUCCCUCCCAUCUAGCACGUAUGUCAAUCAGUCUCCAGGACCCGCUAUGAUGAGUGAAUAUGCUCAGGAACAACUGAAUGCUAUUAGGGCAAGCACCAUGCAGGCUCCCCAGCUGCAGGAAUCGCACUUAAAGCAGCAAAAUCACGAAGGUCGCAAAGACUCUGCCAAGCGGGCUGUUCAAGACGACCUUCUGCUUUCUACGGCAAAGAGGCAAAAGCAGUGCCAGACAGCGCCCAUAAGGCUUGAAGGGAUGGCGCUGAUGAACCGAACACCGGAGAGUAUUGCUGAUCAAACACAGAUGCUAGUCAAUCAGAUUCCUCCCAAUUCAUCCAAUUCAGUGGCAUCAGUGAGCAAUCAAGGGCACACCGAUGGCCUCAAUAGGUUAUUCCCAUCCAACAGCAAUUUUGUAACACCAGCUUUGAGACAAACGGAAGUUCAGUGUGGUUCUCAGCCCUCAAUUUCAGAGCAGCAAGGCCAGGCAGGGCAGCACUUGCAGCCGAUUCAACACGUUCCUGCUCCAGGCAUAUCUCACCUUCACAGUAAUCAUCCAUACUUAAAGCAACAGCAGGCUGGUCAGUUAAGAGAAAGGCACCACUUGUAUCAGCUGCAGCACCACGUCACUCACGGGGAAAACUCAGUCCACUCUCAACCCCACAGUGUCCACCAACAGCGAACAAUACAGCAGGAGGUGCAGAUGCAAAAGAAACGAAAUCUCAUCCAGGGAACACAAGCCACACAACUUUCUCUACAGCAAAAACACCACGGAAGCGAUCAAACACGGCAAAAAGGUGGUCAGCCUCAUCCUCACCACCAGCAAAUGCAGCAGCAGAUGCAGCAGCACUUUGGAGCUUCCCAGCCUGAAAAGAACUGUGAAAAUCCUGCAACAAGCAGAAACCAUCAUAACCACCCUCAGAGCCAUAUAAAUCAGGAUAUUAUGCAUCAACAGCAGCAAGAUGUUAGCAGCAGACAGCAAGGUUCAGCUUCUGAACACGUGUCAGGGCACAAUCAGAUGCAGAGACUUAUGACCUCAAGGGGCUUAGAGCAGCAAAUGGUGUCCCAGGCAAGUAUCGUAACCAGACCCUCAGAUAUGACAUGCACCCCUCAUAGGCAGGAAAGAAAUAGAGUUUCCAGCUACUCUGCUGAGGCGCUCAUUGGGAAGACGCCCUCUAACUCGGAACAGAGAAUAGGAAUAUCUCUCCAAGGCCCUAGGGUUUCUGACCAGCUUGAAAUGAGAAGCUAUCUUGAUGUUUCUAGAAAUAAAGGGUUGGUGAUUCAUAAUAUGCAGGGCCGCUUAUCUGUCGACCAUACAGUUGGCUCAGAUGUGCAGCGGCUUUCUGAUUGUCAAACAUUCAAGCCAGCUGGACCCAAUCAGCAACCGACGGGCAAUUUUGAUGUACAGGCUUCGAGAAACAGCGAAAUUGGUAAUUCUGUGUCAUCCCUCAGGGGCAUGCAGUCGCAAGCGUUUCGAAUUGGUCAAAAUACUGGGCCAUCCAUAGAGAGACAGAAGAGAUUGCCCUACCAGCCAGUACAGGGUAUUCCAACAGGAAAUGCCCUGCCAUCAAGGGAAAAUGAAAACACGUGCCACCAAAGUUUUAUGCAGAGUUUACUUGCCCCUCACCUUGGAGAUCAAGUUAGCGGAAGCCAAAGAUCAAUCCCAGAACAUCAAAGGAACACGCAGUGCGGCGCCUCCUCCACAAUUGAGUACAACUGUCCCCCAGCACGGGAGAGCGUCCACAUCCGAAGAGAUGGUGACGGCCAGAGUAGGGAGAGCUGUGACAUGUCUAUUGGUGCAAUUAACACAAGGAACAGUUCUUUGAAUAUUCCUUUUUCGAGUUCUUCUUCCUCGGGAGAUAUUCAGGGUCGCAACACGAGCCCAAACAUCUCUGUGCAGAAGUCCAAUCCCAUGAGGAUGACAGACAGUCAUGGAACCAAGAGCCACAUGAAUACGCCUGUUUCUAGCAACAUGCAUGGAGUCGUGAGGCCAACUCACCCUCACCCUGCAGUUUCUCACGGAAAUGGUGAGCAAGGGCAACCUUCUGUUCGUCAGCCAAAUUCUUCAGUUACUCAGCGGUCGAGGCAUCCUCUGCAAGAUAAUGGAGGUUCUAAAAUACGUCAGCCCGAAAGGAAUCGAUCCGGAAAUCAAAGACAUGGAAACGUCUUUGACCCUAGUCUUCCCCAUCUUCCCCUGUCUACCAGCGGCAGUAUGAUCCUUGGGCGCCAGCAGUCUGCGAUAGAAAAAAGAGGAAGCAUUGUCCGAUUUAUGUCUGAUGGCCCUCAAGUGUCUAACGAUAAUGCGGCCCCUGACCAACAUACUCUUUCUCAGAAUUUUGGAUUCCCUUUUAUUCCAGAGGGUGGCAUGAAUCCACCGAUAAAUGCCAACGCCUCUUUCAUCCCACCAGUCACUCAGCCUAGUGCCACUCGAACACCAGCUCUAAUCCCGGUCGAUCCUCAGAAUACGCUGCCAUCCUUCUACCCACCUUACUCGCCUGCCCACCCUACCCUUUCCAACGACAUUUCUAUCCCUUACUUUCCCAAUCAAAUGUUUCCUAACCCAAGCACGGAGAAGCCGAGUAGUGGAAGUUUAAACAAUCGAUUUGGAUCCAUUUUGUCUCCUCCCAGGCCUGUUGGUUUUGCUCAGCCAAGUUUUCCUUUGCUUCCGGAUAUGCCGCCGAUGCACAUGACCAACACGUCGCAUUUAUCCAAUUUUAACUUAACAUCUUUGUUUCCAGAAAUAGCCACAGCUCUUCCUCCAGAUGGCUCAGCAAUGUCGCCUUUGCUCUCCAUUGCAAACACAUCUGCUUCCGAUUCUUCCAAGCAGUCCUCAAACCGACCUGCCCACAAUAUAAGCCAUAUUCUAGGUCACGACUGCAGCUCAGCUGUAUGAAAACUGAUAGACUGACUUCUAGACUGAUGCGCUGUUUAUAUAUUUAAGAAGAAAAAAGUGGAUCUUACUGGCGUCCCUGAAGAGACCAUUCAUAGCAUCACUGUUUGUUUGCCUAAAUGUAUGUAUAUGGGUACUUUCCGUAUUUAUAUACACACUGUAUUUCCAUCCACCUUACUAACUUUAAAGCACCAGUGCCUAUAGCAAUGCUUACUUACUAGUAAACAGUAAGGAUGCAACAUUGAGAGCUGUGCAAAUACUGGUUGUUGAUUUUCCAACAAUCAAGUUUGAUGUCCGAUUGUUCCAGGGUAAGGGCCACCCUCAGUAAUCCAUGGAUGUAAAGAAAGGAGUGAGAGCAUCCGUAUGGGAGACAGGAAAUAAACGCUACAGAUUUUGUUUCAUUUCUGAUGCGUUUUCCUGAAACUACAGACGAACUUGAAGUGGCUUGGGUUUCUCUUUUUCCUUUGUAAAAUAUCUUCAGGAGCCUCAACACAAGUCAAGUCUGUGUUAACGCAGCAUUAAUUGAUAAAGGCAUUUGUUGUGCAGCUUUUGUCUGUUUGAAGCUUGUCACAUGCACUUGACUUAAGGCUGACUUUAUCUGGCAAAAAUGACUAUGUGUUUCCAUGGUCAGCAAUUAAAAAUACCGGUUUAGAAAAUUCAGAUUUCUUUAACCCAUGACUUUCUGUUUCUAAGAAGAAUUUUGUUUGGAUCUGUUUUAACAAUGGCUUCUGUUACUGCUGAACGUGGUCAACAUUUUAAUGUAGCUUACGACUCCUUCUGGUGCAGUCAGUGGAGACAGUAGUCCUAUUUGUUGCCAUUUCAUUGUUCGUAUGCUGCAAGUUACCUCAGGGUGGGUUUUGUACCUUGUUUAGCACCUUCUUAAUGUCUUUUUUUUUUCCCCACACCCCCCCCCCCCCCCCCCCCCCCUUUUCUUUGGCCCAUGCUCAAACACCAGCUUUCUGGCUUCUGUGAGUGACAGCCUUUUGUUGUACCAGGCAGCACAUGGGAGGAGAACUGAGCCUGUGGCAUCCCGCAAAAUGAGCGGGGAACCCUGGGGGCAUAGUUUUUACUUAUCGGGGCCCGCGUUAAUAUCAGUACUCUGCACUUGAAUGCACCUUUUGUCUAAACCCGUAUGAUUGUGGCAGAAGGAGGAACGUGUCAAGACUGAAACGCUGCAUACCAGGAAGAAGUUGUGAUUUGAGCACCAUGAGGAAGGCGGAUGCGCUUGUAUGUGCGUGAGAGAUGGAGUGAAUGGGCGUGCGCUGGCUGAGCAUCCAGUACUUUCACAAAUUUCGGUCCCGUUUCUUUUAAAGGAAAGGGAAGAACUAGGACUUUUUCUGAAAUCUGCCGCGACCAGGAUGGAGAAAUACCAUUUCAUUACCCUCCUUGAACAUGGCAAUUUCUGUUGAAGUUCAGCCACAUACAAGUGUGAGUCUUUUUAUGUGCCAUAAGUGAUACUAAAUGAUCCUGUGGCGUUGGUGUGGGAUCAGGAAGGCUGCUGUGAAAAGAGAGGUAGGCAGAUGUAUCUGCUUGAGCUUCAUAUAAAUGCACUUGUCCAAAUUCCGUUGUUUACAAUUCUGACUGGCUUUUUAGAUCAAUUUAAUUAAAGAAAAAUUGGCUCUAUUGUGCAGUCUUUUGGUCUAAUUGACUGUCCAAGACGGUCUUUGAACGCUGAAUCUGGGCAGGUCCCCUGGCUUAAGAGCAGCUUGUGGGUUUGCCACAGAUUUCAGCUUCUCGCAUGUUCAUGCUCAUAUGCCUUUAGGCAGAACAGUGCAUGGACUGGAUAUUUCACAUCAAAAGAGAGGAAAUUAGAUGUUAAGUAAUUUUUGUUAUUUUUUAAUUAUGAAAUUGUUUUGGUUUUCCUCUUGGUAAACUAAUCACCCCUGCCGUUCCACAUGGACCAGGCUUCUUGCGUUUAGUUUUGUAGGUCAGUUUGUGCCACUGACAGGUCGGUGUUUCAGCUUCUGACCUCUGGCCCUUUCCCAGGGCUUUGGGCUCUGUUCUCAGGAAGAGGAACGAUUGCAUCAUCUUUGCCAUUCUUUUUUUUCUUUCUUUUUUCUUUUAUUUUUCCUUUCCCCUACCAUUGAAGCUGUUGUGUUUAGGUAUCAGGUUGAUAAGACUUUAAGGAAGGCUCGCCUUACCUCAAUACAUGUUUUUUGGGGGAGAAAAAAAAAAAAAGAAGUUUGAAAAAGGAGCUUCUGUAAGUUUGGCAGAUCAAAUAAUUCUGUUUUACUUGUUAUAAUAACAAUUUGACAAACAAAUACAUUUUCUUCAGCAAACAUCUACGACAGCAACAAUUUGUUAUCUUUUCCUCCUAAAAAUUACCUGGCAAUUAACAGUUCUUUUGUUUUUCAAGAUAUAUUUGGGAAAGAUUUUGUGGUUUUAAUUGCAAUUUGUUAUGUGGAGAACGGCAUUUUCUCGUCCAUAAUACCUUUUUGAAGGUUACUUACACUAAGUGGGGGUUUUGUUUUGGCUUUGAAGAAAGGAAAAAUACCCAGUACUGCUUAAUUUAGCAAAAUAAGCAGCCGAAGGGAAAGGUUCAGCACUACCUCUAGGGUGGGACUGCCACAGCUGACAAGCGUUGUGGAGCUGUGGCUUUCAGCUUGGCCUAAGUGACUUCCGACAAUAGCAACGGCUGUAGGGCUGGGCUGCACCCUUGUCUCUGUAGUCCUUGAUUAAUCCCUUAAGAAGCCUAGGAGAGUAAGAGCAGAGUCAGACUAAGUUGAAAGCAGGUAAUAAAACAGUAACAUAUUAACAUUUAUAUACCUUUUCAUUGAGAGAAAGGACCUCAUUUAAGAACAGCUAAGGGAACCGAGAACUGAAGUAAUUUGAGCUGGUGGCUGAGCCUUACUGGAAUGUGUUUUCUAGCUCCUGCUCCAGUCACUAUGCUGCUGCCCAGGUGGAAGAGCACCUCUCUGAAAAAAAAAAACAACAAAACCACACCGUGCUAGUACAGAGCCUCCUGAAUUUUGCACAGAUUUCCUACUGCACUUUAAAGCUGCGCUGCUGCUGCUGUGGUUGGUGACUGUAGUGCUGUUGCAGGAAACAAAUCGUGUCAGGGCAACUGCAGAGGGCAUUGCUGGAGAAAAGGGGUCGUUUUGUUAUUUCUGAUCUCCUGUUCUCUUCUCACCUUACGCAGAGGUACUCGCGCAGCCCUGGCUCAAGGACUUGGUCACAAACUCACGCUGUUUCUGCAUGACUGAGCGUAGGCAGCUGGGCUAAGAGCUGUGAUGUUUUGCUAUUCCCCAAAUAAGUUUCAUGCUCAUCACUUUCUUAAUGAUCUCACUUUGACUGGAAAGACAGAGUAGCUUUGCAUCUAUUUAUACCAAAUCUGUCAAAAUUUGUGUUGUUUUCUGAUACAGCGAUAUAAGGAGCUCCAUUCUUUAUCAUCACCUAACCUAAGUGGUCUACUACUGCUGUUCCCUUCUCCCACUGCCACUGCUCCAGCACAGGUAGCAGCCACAUGGACAGGAGCGCCAGUGCAGACACAGGUUUGCGUGUGAGGGUGUUUUCGACCUCCUACUGCCUCUGUGAUCCCUAGAGUAAAUCUAAAACCUCAGAGCACCAACACUUUAUUCCCACUACUUAUACUGAAAGCAAGUUAUUCUGUGAAGCGGUGAGAGAUUUAGCAGAGGUUUUUGGUCAUGACAAUACCAAACAAGCCCUGCUUCGUUACACAGAAGCCAUUUAUUAUUUGCUGAUACCAGUUUUUAUGAGAUAAAUUUAAAAAAAAAAAGCUUUUCUUUCUGCCUCACCAGAAGUAUUUUUACAAGUAGGUUUCCAAGUUUGCAAUAUGCGCUGCUGUUUCGGCAAUCACAAAUAUGAAACAACCAAGCCCGCAGUGGGCUGUACCCCCAUUCUCGCCCGCUCACUGUGAGAAGGGCAGCAAAUACAGAUUUUGCCACAGGAGAUUAAUCAAAGAUGCUGUUGCCCUCCAUGGUGUAAAUUAUUUAUAUUCAGUCCAGAGUUUUCUGUUGUGCUUCUGUUUUAUACAGCUGUAAAUUACUUGGAUACAGCCUCGGUGGAAAGUCCUUACUAUUUUGUAAUGGAAAAAAGGAACUCUGCAGUAGAAAUCUAUAAUGAAUGAACAGGAACAUCAUCUUCCAAUUGUAAAUAAGAUCUUGUUCUGUUUAUUUUGACAUCUUUUUACAAAUGUGUUGCAUUCAGGUGUAAAUAUCCCAAACCAUGAUCUUGUUCAGAGUUCUGAGAUUUCUAUUGUUAAAUGUAAUACUUUGUUUAAUAGUUGUAAUAAUUAUUUGUAUAGAUAUGAACAUGAUAGUAUUUUAUUAAAAAAACCAAAAAUGCUCUUUGAA